CGGUGGUUAGUGGCGCACGGGUGAGUAACACGUGGUUGACCUACCCCAAAGUAAGGGAUAACGGUCCGAAAGGACUGCUAAUACCUUAUAAGCUCCCGGUGUUUAGAAAACUGGGAGAAAAGUUCCGGCGCUUUGGGCGGGGACUGCGGACCAUCAGCUAGUUGGUGUGGUAACGGCACACCAAGGCGACGACGGAUAGGGGACCUGAGAGGGUGGCCCCCCACACUGGAACUGAGACACGGUCCAGACUCCUACGGGAGGCAGCAGUGAGGAAUAUUGCACAAUGGGCGCAAGCCUGAUGCAGCGACGCCGCGUGGGUGAUGAAGGUUUUCGGAUCGUAAAGCCCUUUUCUAGAUGACGAGUAAGGACGGUAGUCUAGGAAUAAGUGUCGGCUAACUACGUGCCAGCAGCCGCGGUAAAACGUAGGACACAAGCGUUAUCCGGAGUUACUGGGCGUAAAGGGCGUGUAGGCGGACCUGUAAGUCUAUUCUGAAAGCUCCUGGCUAAACUGGGAGAGGCGAAUGGAGACUGCANAUCUAGAGUGAGGAAGAGGAAGUGGAAUUCCGCGUGUAUUGGUGAAUGC
rnacentral:rRNA from 1 species